UACGUAGGGUCCGAGCGUUGUCCGGAAUUACUGGGCGUAAAGAGCUCGUAGGCGGUGUGUCACGUCGGCCGUGAAAACCUGCAGCUUAACUGUGGGCGUGCGGUCGAUACGGGCAUCACUGGAGUUCGGCAGGGGAGACUGGAAUUCCUGGUGUAGCGGUGAAAUGCGUAGAUAUCAGGAGGAAUACCGAUGGCGAAGGCAGGUCUCUGGGCUAUAACUGACGCUCAUGCACGAAAGCGUGGGGAGCAAACAGG
rnacentral:rRNA from 1 species